AGCAGCCGCGGUAAUUCCAGCUCCAAUAGCGUAUAUUAAAGUUGUUGCAGUUAAAAAGCUCGUAGUUGAAUUUCGGGAUCAGAUUGUCGGUCGUGCCUCGGUACGCACUGGCAUUAUUGGUUCCUACCUUCUGAAGAACCGCGAUGUCAUUAAUUUGGUGUCGUGGGGAAUCAGGACUGUUACUUUGAAAAAAUUAGAGUGUUUAAAGCAGGCGCACGCUUGAAUACAUUAGCAUGGAAUAAUGAAAUAGGACGUUUGAUUCUAUUUUGUUGGUUUCU
rnacentral:rRNA from 1 species